UGAGCGGCGGACGGGUUAGUAACGCGUGGGAACAUACCCAACACUACGGAAUAGCCUUUGGAAACGAAGAGUAAUACCGUAUACGCCCUUCGGGGGAAAGAUUUAUCGGUGAUGGAUUGGCCCGCGUUAGAUUAGAUAGUUGGUGGGGUAACGGCCUACCAAGUCUACGAUCUAUAGCUGGUUUGAGAGGAUGAUCAGCAACACUGGGACUGAGACACGGCCCAGACUCCUACGGGAGGCAGCAGUGGGGAAUCUUAGACAAUGGGCGCAAGCCUGAUCUAGCGAUGCCGCGUGAGUGACGAAGGCCCUAGGGUCGUAAAGCUCUUUCGCCAGGGAUGAUAAUGACAGUACCUGGUAAAGAAACCCCGGCUAACUCCGUGCCAGCAGCCGCGGUAAUACGGAGGGGGUUAGCGUUGUUCGGAAUUACUGGGCGUAAAGCGCGCGUAGGCGGACUAUUAAGUCAGGGGUGAAAUCCCGGGGCUCAACCCCGGAACUGCCUUUGAUACUGGUAGUCUAGAGUUCGAGAGAGGUGAGUGGAAUUCCGAGUGUAGAGGUGAAAUUCGUAGAUAUUCGGAGGAACACCAGUGGCGAAGGCGGCUCACUGGCUCGAUACUGACGCUGAGGUGCGAAAGUGUGGGGAGCAAACAGGAUUAGAUACCCUGGUAGUCCACACCGUAAACGAUGAAUGCCAGACGUCGGGGGGCUUGCCCUUCGGUGUCACACCUAACGGAUUAAGCAUUCCGCCUGGGG
rnacentral:rRNA from 1 species